rnacentral:lncRNA from 1 species
AAAAAAAAAGAGCACACCAUUGCAGAUCAUGCUUGAGGACCUCUGGAAUCGCACCAAACCAUCGCAGAAUUGAUUCAUGGAUGAGGUAAGUACAUAUAAUCCCCCUUCUCAAAUUCCUGACCUAACCUCUAUUGUGGAAAGCUAUGUCAUAGCUCUACAGGAGCGAUGACUUCAGCAGUCUCAACCAUGUAAGAUCUGUGGAUAUGUGGGACAUUUAACGUC